CCUGGUACCUCUGCUGCAAGGUCUGUCGCACUGUAGUCGGUCUGUAAUAGGCACUGCUUGUGGGAGUCGUAGGCAGGACUCAGAGGGACCCAGGACACCUAGACAUGGACUCGGUGGCCUUUGAAGAUGUGGCUGUGAGCUUUAGUCCGGAGGAGUGGGCCUUACUGCAUCCUGCACAGAAGCAGCUCUACAGAGAUGUGAUGCAGGAAACCUUCAGGAACCUGGCCUCCUUAGGAAUAAGAUGGGAAGAACAUGACAUUGAAAAUUGCUACAAAAACCAGGGGAG